CCGCGGGAUUAGAGUUUGAUCCUGGCUCAGGACGAACGCUGGCGGCGUGCUUAACACAUGCAAGUCGAACGGAAAGGCCUCUUCGGAGGUACUCGAGUGGCGAACGGGUGAGUAACACGUGGGUAAUCUGCCCUGCACUUCGGGAUAAGCCUGGGAAACUGGGUCUAAUACCGAAUAGGACCAUUUAGCGCAUGCUUUAUGGUGGAAAGCUUUUGCGGUGUGGGAUGGGCCCGCGGCCUAUCAGCUUGUUGGUGGGGUGACGGCCUACCAAGGCGACGACGGGUAGCCGGCCUGAGAGGGUGUCCGGCCACACUGGGACUGAGAUACGGCCCAGACUCCUACGGGAGGCAGCAGUGGGGAAUAUUGGGCAAUGGGCGCAAGCCUGACCCAGCCAUGCCGCGUGCAGGAUGAAGGCGCUCAGCGUCGUAAACUGCUUUUAUCUACGAAGAACAGCAGAGAUGAGUCUUUGUGUGACGGUAGUAGAGGAAUAAGCACCGGCUAACUCCGUGCCAGCAGCCGCGGUAAUACGGAGGGUGCAAGCGUUGUCCGGAUUUAUUGGGUUUAAAGGGUGCGUAGGUGGCGUUUUAAGUCUGGUUUGAAAGCAGGCGGCUUAACCGUGUGAUGUGGCUGGAAACUGGGGCGCUUGAAUGAGUUGGCGGUAGCCGGAACGGGUCAUGUAGCGGUGAAAUGCAUAGAUAUGACCCAGAACACCGAUUGCGAAGGCAGGCUACUACGACUUGAUUGACACUGAGGCACGAGAGCAUGGGUAGCGAACAGGAUUAGAUACCCUGGUAGUCCAUGCAGUAAACGAUGAUUACUGGCUGUGUGCGUUCAAGCGUGCGUGGCUG
rnacentral:rRNA from 1 species